GCCGGAAGUGUCGGUCAAACAAGCCGGUUAGAGAUGACAUGAAAAUAGCACGACGCCCAGAGUUUUGUCUGAUACCGUUAAACGUUUCGAAGGUUGAUAAUAAAUGAAGCUUGCGCUUGUCUUGGCCGACUGCAACUACGCACGGAUCUGGUGAGGAAGUUGUCGACAUUUACACGGGAGCGUGGAAAAGUCUGGACUUCGUUGCUGGAUCUGUUCUCAAUCAAGAAUAAAUCCCACACAGCGAUGGAGCCGCUCACAUUUUUUCAAUACAAAUACCAGUAUUUCAAUAAAUGACCCCUGUUUUUACACAAACUCGCAUUCAUUAACUAGGAUUGAGGGGGGGGGGAGACCCUAAAGGGGGUCUACUAUGUAAGCGAAGCACGUUUAACUUUGGUGAACCUCUCUGUGACAGAUGUUUUUUUGUUCUUUUUUUUUUUAAAUAUGUGUUGGACUCAUUUGAGGAGAAAAAAAACAUCACAGAGAGCAUGUUGCUGCUGUGCUACAGGCGUGUCAUAGUGAUAUUUACCAGUAAGUUUUAUCUUAUCUGUUAGCGCUAGCUUUAGCACGGCACUAGUGUUAGCACUACCGUUAGCCCCACGCUAGCAUUAAACGCUUUCUGUGUAGCAUCUUUCUUUGUAAACAUUUCAUGUUUCAAUGUGGGAACUUGCGGCUUUUACACCGCUGCGGCGUACGUAUGUAUGUAGCUACCAAAUGGUAUUUCCUUUCCAAAUGUUCUGGGUGAGGCUCGUAACCGGGUGCACGCUGUAGGCCGGGAAUUACGGUAAUUGUUUGACUCUAAACUUCAACUGGCAGUGACAUUAAACACCUCUCGUAUAUAUUUUUUUUUUUUAAAUUGCUUUGUCUUCCCCAAACGCUGCUGCUGAUUGUGAGGCAACCUGAAUUGAGUUUAGUGCCCCCCCCCAAAUUUGCUGCUAAAUCCAUCAGUAAUAAAUCACCACAUUCGAAAUGUUUGGAUCAAAUUUGACUUCCACACCUUUUCAAAGAAUCGGAUGCUUUGAAAAUGUGUCCCAUGUGAACAUCUCCUCAGAUAGUUUGACCAAAAAAAAAAAAAAAAUUGUAACGAGCCUGUUGAGCAAAAGCCGCUCGGAGGAGGAGGAGGGGCGGAGCCAAGAUGCCACCGGGGGUCAAAGAUCAAGUCAGUCCCAAGUGGCCGCUUGCCGAGACCGCAGCAGCGGGGGCACGCCCGGCGUCAAUGCGGUUAGGGUCCAUUUCUUUUUAACGACGUAAUGGCCCGAACAGAUGUGGAGUCGAGGCCGGGCGACGGCGAGCCGGACCGAGCGGGAGGGACGUCGUCGCCGCCGCUGCGGUCGCGGUAGCGACUUGAGGUACGGAUCGCCGGAUCUCGUUUGGCGAUAGCCAAAAGAUUGACCGUAAACGAUGUCAAGCCAACACGUCAGCGCUAACGUCGGUCUUCCUUGUCCGGAAUGCUAGCGAUCACGUUGAAAGCUAACUUCUGAAGGCAUCGAUAACGCCAAGGUCAGAGGCUAACAUGAGCCGUAACUGAAGCCAAUGCUAACGGUAACAUUGGAGGCUAGCUUUGGAAGCUAAAUGUUCAAACCACCGUUGCAAGCAAACAUCGGUCUCCUUUAUCUUUAUUGUUAGGCGUACGAUUGGAAGCUAAUGUGAGAAAAAUUUUUUACUUGAUAGACGACGUGGAAUCAAGCCUUGGCAGAGAUGCCGGAAGGUAACAUCAAGGCUAACUUUCUAAGUCAAUGAAGCUAAUGUCAGAACGUAACGAUUUUCUGGCUGUCCAACAUUCGACGUAUUGUUGGAAGCCAACUUCACUUGCUAACGCAGAAGACUAUCGUUGAAGCUAAAGCUAGC